rnacentral:rRNA from 1 species
AGAGUUUGAUUCUGGCUCAGGACGAACGCUGGCGGCGCGCCUAACACAUGCAAGUCGAACGAGCGAGAGAGAGCUUGCUUUCUCGAGCGAGUGGCGAACGGGUGAGUAACGCGUGAGGAACCUGCCUCAAAGAGGGGGACAACAGUUGGAAACGACUGCUAAUACCGCAUAAGCCCACGGGUCGGCAUCGACCAGAGGGAAAAGGAGCAAUCCGCUUUGAGAUGGCCUCGCGUCCGAUUAGCUAGUUGGUGAGGUAAUGGCCCACCAAGGCAACGAUCGGUAGCCGGACUGAGAGGUUGAACGGCCACAUUGGGACUGAGACACGGCCCAGACUCCUACGGGAGGCAGCAGUGGGGAAUAUUGCACAAUGGGGGAAACCCUGAUGCAGCGACGCCGCGUGGAGGAAGAAGGUCUUCGGAUUGUAAACUCCUGUUGUUGAGGAAGAUAAUGACGGUACUCAACAAGGAAGUGACGGCUAACUACGUGCCAGCAGCCGCGGUAAAACGUAGGUCACAAGCGUUGUCCGGAAUUACUGGGUGUAAAGGGAGCGCAGGCGGGAGGACAAGUUGGAAGUGAAAUCUAUGGGCUCAACCCAUAAACUGCUUUCAAAACUGUUUUUCUUGAGUAGUGCAGAGGUAGGCGGAAUUCCCGGUGUAGCGGUGGAAUGCGUAGAUAUCGGGAGGAACACCAGUGGCGAAGGCGGCCUACUGGGCACCAACUGACGCUGAGGCUCGAAAGUGUGGGUAGCAAACAGGAUUAGAUACCCUGGUAGUCCACACCGUAAACGAUGAUUACUAGGUGUUGGAGGAGUGACCCCCUCAGUGCCGCAGUUAACACAAUAAGUAAUCCACCUGGGGAGUACGACCGCAAGGUUGAAACUCAAAGGAAUUGACGGGGGCCCGCACAAGCAGUGGAGUAUGUGGUUUAAUUCGACGCAACGCGAAGAACCUUACCAAGUCUUGACAUCCUGCGACGAUGCUGGAAACAGUAUUUUCCUUCGGGACGCAGAGACAGGUGGUGCAUGGUUGUCGUCAGCUCGUGUCGUGAGAUGUUGGGUUAAGUCCCGCAACGAGCGCAACCCUUACUGUCAGUUACUACGCAAGAGGACUCUGGCAGGACUGCCGUUGACAAAACGGAGGAAGGUGGGGAGGACGUCAAAUCAUCAUGCCCUUUAUGACUUGGGCUACACACGUACUACAAUGGCGUUAAACAAAGAGAAGCAAGACCGCGAGGUGGAGCAAAACUCAGAAACAACGUCCCAGUUCGGACUGCAGGCUGCAACUCGCCUGCACGAAGUCGGAAUUGCUAGUAAUCGUGGAUCAGCAUGCCACGGUGAAUAAAAGGCCGGGCCUUGCACUCUCCGCCCGUCAAGGGCC